rnacentral:rRNA from 1 species
UACGGAGGAUGCAAGCGUUAUCCGGAAUGAUUGGGCGUAAAGCGUCCGCAGGUGGCUAUGUAAGUCUGCUGUUAAAGAGUGAGGCUCAACCUCAUAAGAGCGGUGGAAACUACAUGGCUAGAGUGCGUUCGGGGCAGAGGGAAUUCCUGGUGUAGCGGUGAAAUGCGUAGAGAUCAGGAAGAACACCGGUGGCGAAAGCGCUCUGCUAGGCCGCAACUGACACUCAUGGACGAAAGCUAGGGGAGCGAAUGGG